rfam:Brassica napus, WGS project CCCW01000000 data, contig: 13198
GUAAUAUAAGAACUCGUUUCUUAACUUUUAAUUGAAAAAGAUAAGAACUAGUUCUUAAAUAAGAGUUUUAAGAGCCGUUUCUUAAUUUUUUUAGUUAAAAGUUAAGAGACGGGUUCUUAUAUUUC